rnacentral:rRNA from 1 species
UACAGAGGGUGCGAGCGUUGUCCGGAAUCAUUGGGCGUAAAGGGCGCGUAGGCGGGUUUGUAGGUCGAUUGUGAAAUCCCUGGGCUUAACCCGGGAAUUGCAGUCGAAACUGCAAGUCUUGAGUUCUCGAGAGGAUGGUGGAAUUCCUGGAGUAGUAGUGAAAUACGUAGAUAUCAGGAGGAACACCGGAGGCGAAGGCGGCCAUCUGGCGAGACACUGACGCUAAGGCGCGAAAGCGUGGGUAGCAAACAGG